GCAUAUCAAUAAGCGGAGGAAAAGAAACCAACAGGGAUUGCCCUAGUAACGGCGAGUGAAGCGGCAACAGCUCAAAUUUGAAAUCUGGCUUCGGCCCGAGUUGUAAUUUGUAGAGGAUGCUUUUGGUGAGGUGCCUUCUGAGUUCCCUGGAACGGGACGCCAGAGAGGGUGAGAGCCCCGUAUAGUCGGCCACCGAUCCUUUGUAAAGCUCCUUCGACGAGUCGAGUAGUUUGGGAAUGCUGCUCUAAAUGGGAGGUAUAUCUCUUCUAAAGCUAAAUAUUGGCCAGAGACCGAUAGCGCACAAGUAGAGUGAUCGAAAGAUGAAAAGCACUUUGAAAAGAGGGUUAAAUAGCACGUGAAAUUGUUGAAAGGGAAGCGCUUGUGACCAGACUUGUGCCGGGCUGAUCAUCCAGUGUUCUCACUGGUGCACUCGACCCGGCUCAGGCCAGCGUCGGUUCUCGUAGGGGGAUAAAAGCUUCGGGAACGUGGCACCUUCGGGUGUGUUAUAGCCCGUUGCUUAAUACCCUUGUGGGGACCGAGGUUCGCGCUCUGCAAGGACGCUGGCAUAAUGGUCAUCAGCGACCCGUCUUGAAACACGGACCAAGGAGUCGAGGUUUUGCGCGAGUGUUUGGGUGUAAAACCCGCACGCGUAAUGAAAGUGAACGUAGGUGAGAGCUUCGGCGCAUCAUCGACCGAUCCUGAUGUAUUCGGAUGGAUUUGAGUAAGAGCGUAUAGCCUCGGACCCGAAAGAUGGUGAACUAUGCCUGAAUAGGGUGAAGCCAGAGGAAACUCUGGUGGAGGCUCGCAGCGGUUCUGACGUGCAAAUCGAUCGUCAAAUUUGGGGCAUGGGGGGCGAAAGACUAAUCGAACCAUCUAGUAGCUGGUUACCGCCGA
rnacentral:rRNA from 1 species